UCUCGAUAGCGUAAAAGUUAAACUCAUAGUUGUAUGGAGUUGGUACGUUUGCUUACGUUUGCCGCUAGGGGCGCUGUUCCAACUGCAUACAAAGUUGAGUUAACUUUUACGCUAUCGA
rnacentral:pre_miRNA from 9 species